UACGUAGGGUGCGAGCGUUGUCCGGAAUUAUUGGGCGUAAAGAGCUCGUAGGCGGUGUGUCGCGUCGGCCGUGAAAACCUGGGGCUCAACUCUGGGCGUGCGGUCGAUACGGGCAUCACUGGAGUUCGGCAGGGGGAGACUGGAAUUCCUGGUGUAGCGGUGAAAUGCGCAGAUAUCAGGAAGAACACCAAUGGCGAAAAGCAGCUCUCUGGGGACGGUA
rnacentral:rRNA from 1 species